CCUUCUCAAACAGCAAUGUUUGGUUGUGAGUGAUACUCUUUCGGAGUUAGCUUGAAAUUGCUGGCCGAUGGCUGUUGUGGUUGAGUGUCUCCCUUCGGGGAGAGCGCUUGCUGCGUUAAGGGACGUCCUGCUGGACAUCUUCGUAUUAGGUUCUACCAACUUCGAAGACGGUUAGCGGGGAGUUCUGCAGUGAGUGUAGUGCUUUUACUACGUUGCACCAUGGCGAACAGUGUUCUUUUAAGU
rnacentral:rRNA from 1 species